UACGUAGGGGGCGAGCGUUGUCCGGAUUCAUUGGGCGUAAAGCGCUUUAAGGCGGUUCGCUAAGUCGGGUGUGAAACCUCCAGGCUCAACCUGGAGACGCCACUCGAUACUGGCGUGACUAGAGUUCGGUAGGGGACCACGGAAUUCCUGGUGUAGCGGUGAAAUGCGCAGAUAUCAGGAGGAACACCAGUGGCGAAGGCGGUGGUCUGGGCCGAUACUGACGCUGAGACGCGAAAGCGUGGGGAGCGAACAGG
rnacentral:rRNA from 1 species